ensembl:lncRNA
UGAAUAUAUCUCUACUUGCAGGCUCUGUUCCUUUAUCCUUCAAACACGCUGUUGUCCAGCCCGUACUUAAAAAAAGAAACAUUGAUCAUAAGGGGGCGAUCGUGGCUCAAGAGUUAGGAGUUCGCCUUGUAAUCGGAAGGUUGCCGGUUCGAGCCCCGGCUUGGACAGUCUUGGUCGUUGUGUCCUUGGGCAAGACACUUCACCCGUUGCCUACUGGUGGUGGUCAGAGGGCCCGGUGGCGCCAGUGUCCAGCAGCCUCGCCUCUGUCAGUGCGCCCCAGGGUGGCUGUGGUUACAAUGUAGCUUACCAUCACCAGUGUGCGAAUGUGUGUGUGAAUGGGUGGAUGACUGGAUAUGUAAAGCGCUUUGGGGUCCUUAGGGACUAGUAAAGCGCUAUAUAAAUACAGGCCAUUUACCAUAACGAUCUUGGGGAACUAUAGACCGAUCUCUAAGCUUCCAUUCCUGUCCAAAAUACUGGAGAGGAUUGUUCUUUCACAACUCCAGCCGUAUUUGGAUACGAAUGCCAUUUAUGAUAAAUUUCAGUCUGCUUACAAACCCUGUUAUUAGGGCUGCAUGAUUAAUCGUUAGAAAAUCGCGAUCUCGAUUCAUACUUAUGUGCGAUCUCAUUUCCAAAUGACAACGAUUUAAAAAAGAAAAAGAAAAAAAAAGACAACGACGAUUGUACCGCAUUUUGAUCCGGGACGUACUCUGCAUGAAAACAAGCGCUCACUCUUCCUGCUCAACAAAUGACAAGGGCGGAGCCUUAUACCACGUGAUACAGAAGCUGUGGUGUGAUGCUAAAAUUAGCAGGGAAAAAACAACGGAGAGCACGUCAGGGAUGACGAGAAAGUGACAGGAGAAAAUCCGUCCCGGACAACCACCCAAACAUCAAUAACGGGAACCUUAUACAGCGCUUCCCUAUACCCGUUGAACUUCCGCAGGCACAAAGAAAUUACGGAGGCUAUCACUCAUCACCUGACCAAAGAUAUGGCUCCCAUCAACACUGUGCAAAACGAGGGAUUUAGGAAAAUGAUCAACACCCU